UGUCUUUUUGAUUUUAAUUUAAAGUCUAAUCUGCCCACUGAUUUAUUAAAGGGCUGCAGUAAUUUGACUGUACAAAGGUAGCAUAAUCAUUAGCCUUUUAAUUGAAGGCUUGUAUGAAAGAUUUGAUGAAAUAUAAACUGUCUCUAAUUUAAAAUUAAAAUUUAAUUUUUUAGUUAAAAAGCUAAAAUAAUUUUAAAAGACGAGAAGACCCUAUAGAGUUUUAUAAUUAAUAAUUUUAAAUAAUUAUAUAAAAUUUUAAUAUUUAAUAUUAUUCAUUAUUUUAUUGGGGUGAUAAAAAAAUUUAAUUAACUUUUUUUCUUGUUUAUCAAAAAUAAAUGAUUAAUUGAUCCUGUUUAAAGAUUAAAAGAAAUAAUUACCUUAGGGAUAACAGCGUAAUAUUUUUUUUUAGUACAAAUAAAAAAAAAAGUUUGCGACCUCGAUGUUGGAUUAAGAUAAAAUUUAAAUGCAAAAGUUUAAAAUUUUGAUCUGUUCGAUCAUUAAAAUC
rnacentral:rRNA from 1 species